CGAAGACAACCAGGAGGUUGGCUUAGAAGCAGCCACCCUUGAAAGAGUGCGUAAUAGCUCACUGGUCUAGUGGCUGGGCGCCGACAAUUUAGCGGGGCUCAAGUACACCGCCGAAGCCGCGGCACUCACAUCUUUGGUGUGGGUGGGUAGGGGAGCGUCGUGCAGCCGUAGAAGCAGCAGGGUGACCUAGUUGUGGAGGCUGUGC
rnacentral:rRNA from 1 species